UUGUCCCACUUCACUGGAAUACUUAGAAAUUCUUAUGCAAAGCUGCUUCUUCCCCUUCUCCCGGUAAUAUUGCGGAUUCAAUACUUUUGUGGAUCUCACGUGGGACAAACCUUCCUUGAAGAAAUGACGUGCAGCAAUAGACUGUGUGCCUUAAGGCAGAAAAACGUAUAAAGGUACCUGGGAAAGUAAAUUGCCAGAAGCAAAGAGCACCUCCCUUUCAAAAUAGUGUAAGUACUCUUCUCACCUACAUCAAACCGACCUUACGCAGAGCAGCGCUAGCUGUUUUGAGGUUUGCUGGCUUUUGCAAAUAUCUCUCCUUUCAAUGCACACAC